UGAGGUUAAGCGACUAAGCGUACACGGUGGAUGCCCUGGCAGUCAGAGGCGAUGAAGGGCGUGCUAAUCUGCGAUAAGCGCCGGUAAGGUGAUAUGAACCGCUACAACCGGCGAUACCCGAAUGGGGAAACCCAGUGUGACUCGUCACACUAUCAUGCAGUGAAUACAUAGCUGUAUGAGGCGAACCGGGGGAACUGAAACAUCUAAGUACCCCGAGGAAAAGAAAUCAACCGAGAUUCCCCCAGUAGCGGCGAGCGAACGGGGAGGAGCCCAGAACCAUCAUCAGCUUGUGCAUCAGUGGAAGCGUCUGGAAAGUCGCAGGGUACAGGGUGAUACUCCCGUACACAAAGGUGCACAGGCUGUGAGUUCGAUGAGUAAGGCGGGACACGUGGUAUCCUGUCUGAAUAUGGGGGGACCAUCCUCCAAGGCUAAAUACUCCUGACUGACCGAUAGUGAACCAGUACCGUGAGGGAAAGGCGAAAAGAACCCCGGCGAGGGGAGUGAAACAGAACCUGAAACCGUGUACGUACAAGCAGUGGGAGCCUUCUUUAUGGGGGUGACUGCGUACCUUUUGUAUAAUGGGUCAGCGACUUAUAUUCUGUAGCAAGGUUAACCGCAUAGGGGAGCCGCAGGGAAACCGAGUCUUAACUGGGCGUUAAGUUGCAGGGUAUAGACCCGAAACCCGGUGAUCUAGCCAUGGGCAGGUUGAAGGUUGGGUAACACUAACUGGAGGACCGAACCGACUAAUGUUGAAAAAUUAGCGGAUGACCUGUGGCUGGGGGUGAAAGGCCAAUCAAACCGGGAGAUAGCUGGUUCUCCCCGAAAGCUAUUUAGGUAGCGCCUCGUGAACUCAUCUCCGGGGGUAGAGCACUGUUUCGGCUAGGGGGCCAUCCCGGCUUACCAACCCGAUGCAAACUGCGAAUACCGGAGAAUGUUAUCACGGGAGACACACGGCGGGUGCUAACGUCCGUCGUGAAGAGGGAAACAACCCAGACCGCCAGCUAAGGUCCCAAAGUCAUGGUUAAGUGGGAAACGAUGUGGGAAGGCCCAGACAGCCAGGAUGUUGGCUUAGAAGCAGCCAUCAUUUAAAGAAAGCGUAAUAGCUCACUGGUCGAGUCGGCCUGCGCGGAAGAUGUAACGGGGCUAAACCAUGCACCGAAGCUGCGGCAGCGACGCUUAUGCGUUGUUGGGUAGGGGAGCGUUCUGUAAGCCGUCGAAGGUGUGCUGUGAGGCAUGCUGGAGGUAUCAGAAGUGCGAAUGCUGACAUAAGUAACGAUAAACAAGGUGAAAAACCUUGUCGCCGGAAGACCAAGGGUUCCUGUUCAACGUUAAUCGGAGCAGGGUGAGUCGACCCCUAAGGCGAGGCCGAAAGGCGUAGUCGAUGGGAAACAGGUUAAUAUUCCUGUACUUGGUGUUACUGCGAAGGGGGGACGGAGAAGGCUAUAUCAGCCGGGCGACGGUUGUCCCGGUUUAAGCGUGUAGGUGUGUGUUCCAGGCAAAUCCGGUUCACUUUACACUGAGGCGUGACGACGAGGCACUACGGUGCUGAAGUGAUAAAUGCCCUGCUUCCAGGAAAAGCCUCUAAGCAUCAGGUAACACAAAAUCGUACCCCAAACCGACACAGGUGGUCAGGUAGAGAAUACCAAGGCGCUUGAGAGAACUCGGGUGAAGGAACUAGGCAAAAUGGUGCCGUAACUUCGGGAGAAGGCACGCUGGCGCGUAGGUGAAGGGACUUGCUCCCGGAGCCGAAGCCAGUCGAAGAUACCAGCUGGCUGCAACUGUUUAUUAAAAACACAGCACUGUGCAAACACGAAAGUGGACGUAUACGGUGUGACGCCUGCCCGGUGCCGGAAGGUUAAUUGAUGGGGUUAUCCGCAAGGAGAAGCUCUUGAUCGAAGCCCCGGUAAACGGCGGCCGUAACUAUAACGGUCCUAAGGUAGCGAAAUUCCUUGUCGGGUAAGUUCCGACCUGCACGAAUGGCGUAAUGAUGGCCAGGCUGUCUCCACCCGAGACUCAGUGAAAUUGAAAUCGCUGUGAAGAUGCAGUGUACCCGCGGCAAGACGGAAAGACCCCGUGAACCUUUACUACAGCUUGACACUGAACACUGAGCCUUGAUGUGUAGGAUAGGUGGGAGGCUUUGAAGCGUGGACGCCAGUCUGCGUGGAGCC
rnacentral:rRNA from 1 species